UUUUUUUUGCGCUAUCUACCGGAUGUGAAUGGUCUCAGUGAGGCCUUCCGAAUGGGUUUAGGAAAGGGGGCAACUUAAUUCGGGAACGAGAAGUGGUUCAAACUGGGUAAUUUAGGGGAAGUAAAAGUGGUAACCAGGGUUUCCGGUGGGUGAACCCGGGGGAGGAAUUACAUUACGUAAUUGGCUUAAUGGACACCACAAAGGGGUUUUUUUUUGAAACCAAACUGGUCUUGGGGCGGGGGGCCCCGGCCCGUGCCGGCCCAGGGUUUUAAACUAACAACCCAAUUUUUAAUCAACUGGUAAACACCAGAAUAAUAAUUAAUAGUCAAAACUUUCAACAACGGAUCUCUUGGUUCUCGCAUCGAUGAAGAACGCAGCGAAAUGCGAUACGUAAUAUGAAUUGCAGAUAUUCGUGAAUCAUCGAAUCUUUGAACGCACAUUGCGCCCUCUGGUAUUCCGGAGGGCAUGCCUGUUUGAGCGUCGUUUCUCCCUCAAACCGCUGGGUUUGGUGUUGAGCAAUACGACUUGGGUUUGCUUGAAAGACGGUAGUGGUAAGGCGGGAUCGCUUUGACAAUGGCUUAGGUCUAACCAAAAACAUUGCUUGCGGCGGUAACGUCUACCACGUAUAUC
rnacentral:misc_RNA from 1 species